rnacentral:pre_miRNA from 1 species
CAAGUACUCCCUCCGUUCAGAAUUACUGGUCGCAGAGAUGGAUGUAUCUAGACGUAUUUUAGUUCUACAUACAUCCAUUUCCGAGACAAGUAAUUCCGAAUGGAGGGAGAUAAAAA